rnacentral:piRNA from 1 species
UGGUGACCCGUCUCUCUGACCAUGCACUAU